ACCCAAACAAAAAUCAAGAAAAAGGAGAUGAAUGAAACGAAAAUAAAAAGCACGUAUUAUUCUAAUGAUUCACAGAGGGCUCUGUCAGCUUGUCGACAGCUGUUUAAAUAUUGAGAAAAAGCGCGCGUAUAGCCAUGCAACCCCAGAGAGAGAAAAUAAAACAAAUAACAAUAACUCACUCAACAGAAAAACAGCGACGAAAAAGAUAAUCUUCCAUCCUUCACUGGAUCCCAUUUCGGCGAUGGUGGAACUAGCGGAACAACUCAACAGCAACAUAAAGCCGAGAGUAAUCGUAUGAAACGUCGCCAAAACUACACUUGACCUAGUCAAUGGACAACGCUUGACAAGAAUGUGAUGACACCAAAACCCAAAUUCAUGGAGAGCACAGUAUCAGUAAUGGCUCUAAUCCACAGGGAGAUUGAAAGCAUCUUCCCCCAAGAUGGUGCAAGAAAAUAGGCCAAUCCUAAAUACAUUUGUAACGGGUUGGAAUAGGUGGCCCUGGCCACAAGGAUGACAAUCAAUGUCACAGGUACUAACAAUGUUAUAAUACCUUGCUGAUAAAUUUGAGUCCACAAAUGACUGUGAGGACUGCAAACACCCAGGAUUAGAGAUUAUAAAUAGCUGCUCCGGAGCCAGGCUGGGUUGCGAAAACGACUUGCUCCAAAUUGCGAUCAACAGCUGCCGGCAAGUUCUUGUAGUAAUUUUCUUUCAGACAAGACAAAAUUACCCCGCUCCUGUCAGCCUUGCCCCCAAACAAUGGUUCCGGGAUAUUUCGACAAGGUGAUCCAGCUGCUGGUGACU